UACGUAGGGUGCGAGCGUUGCCCGGAUUUAUUGGGCGUAAAGAGCUCGUAGGCGGUCUGUCGCGUCGGUCGUGAAAACUUGGGGCUUAACCCUGAGCUUGCGGUCGAUACGGGCAUGACUGGAGUUCGGUAGGGGAGACUGGAAUUCCUGGUGUAGCGGUGAAAUGCGCAGAUAUCAGGAGGAACACCGGUGGCGAAGGCGGGUCUCUGGGCCGAUACUGACGCUGAGGAGCGAAAGCGUGGGGAGCGAACAGG
rnacentral:rRNA from 1 species